GCCCCGGUGGCCUAGUGAUUAGAGCGUCCGCCUCGGAUGCGAAUAGUCGUGGGUCCGAUCCACGGUCGAGUCA